rnacentral:rRNA from 1 species
UCCGCACGCCAGUGAACAUGCCCUAUAUUAUACAAACGGAGCAGGUAUCAGGCACGAAACUCAGCCCAAAACACCAAGCUACGCCACACCCACACGGGUCUACAGCAGUGAUAAACAUUAAGCAAUAAGCGACAACUUAAUUAAGCUUGACUUAGUUAUGAUUAAUAGGGCCGGUAAACCUCGUGCCAGCCACCGCGGUUAUACGAGGGGCCCAAAGUAGCAAUAAUCGGCGUAAAUCGUGACUAGAAUAACUCCGCUCUAUUAAAGAUUAAACCAUAGCCUAACCGUAAAACACAGGCUAAGUGAAACCAACCAUCUUUAACAUAAGGAAAUUUGACUCACGAAAACUAAGAAACAAACUAGGAUUAGAUACCCUACUAUGCUUAGUCGUAAAUACGACACAACACUACCACUGUGUCCGCCAGAAAAUUACGAGCGAAAAGCUUAAAACUCAAAGGACUUGGCGGUGCUCCAUACCGACUUAGAGGAGCCUGUCCUAUAAUCGAUAACCCACGAUAAACCAGACCAAUCUUUGCCCAAUUCAGCCUAUAUACCGCCGUCGUCAACCUACCCCAUGAGGGAAAAAUAGUAAGUAUAACAGUUUUUAACUAAAACGUCAGGUCAAGGUGUAGCUAAUAGAUUGGAAGAGAUGGGCUACAUUAUUUAAUAUAAAUAAUACGGCACGUCAUUAUGAAACUAAUGCCCGAAGGAGGAUUUAAUAGUAAAAUUAGUAAGAAAACUACUUUUAAACCCG